CUAAUUCCCCAUUUUAAUAACCAUCUUAUAUUGUAGUAGAGGAGAUUGAAAAUUUAUUGGAGCUAUAACAGUAG
rnacentral:tRNA from 1 species